UCACCUGUGCCCUGGCUGUCCUAUUUGCAGCAUAUUAUGUAUUUAACAUGGAGUAUGAAGGAGAGGCAGCAACAACACUGGAAUUCAUCCAGAGGUUUCUCGUACGGAUAAACCCUGAGAAUUCAAAGUGCACAUCCAGGUUUCAUGUGAGCAAGAGGAGUGGCAAGACUGUGCAGAGGAAGACAAUGGCCCUGAAUCCGCACGUCGCCUCAUUUAUCAGGGACUUCACAGACUAUGAUUGGAAAAAUCAUUAAGGACCAUCAUAUGUCUUGGGGUCUCUGCUCCACAUGAUGCCACCACCUACCACCAUCCUCCACAUCUGCCCCUCAUCAUGCACUUUCACCCUGCACCUCAUCUCUAAUGCUGCAAUUUUGUUGAUCUGUGUCAGCA